rfam:Danio rerio chromosome 4, GRCz11 reference primary assembly.
GCCUCGUUGGCGCCGUAGGCAGCGCGUCAGUCUCAUAAUCUGCAGGUUGUGAGAUUGAGCCUCACUCGGGGCA